rnacentral:rRNA from 1 species
GCGAAAGCGGGAGGAAGGAGGGGACGACGUCUGGUCAGCAUGGCCCUUACGGCCUGGGCGACACACGUGCUACAAUGCCCACUACAAAGCGAGGCCACCCGGCAACGGGGAGCUAAUCGCAAAAAGGUGGGCCCAGUUCGGAUUGGGGUCUGCAACCCGACCCCAUGAAGCCGGAAUCGCUAGUAAUCGUGUUUCAAAAUAGCACGGUGAAUAUGUCCCUGCUCCUU